rnacentral:rRNA from 1 species
UACGUAGGGGGCAAGCGUUGUCCGGAAUCAUUGGGCGUAAAGAGCUCGUAGGCGGCUUGUCGCGUCGUCCGUGAAAACCUGCAGCUCAACUGCAGGCUUGCGGGCGAUACGGGCAGGCUAGAGUUCGGUAGGGGAGACUGGAAUUCCUGGUGUAGCGGUGAAAUGCGCAGAUAUCAGGAGGAACACCGGUGGCGAAGGCGGGUCUCUGGGCCGAUACUGACGCUGAGGAGCGAAAGCGUGGGGAGCGAACAGG